rnacentral:rRNA from 1 species
GGCUCAGAGCGAACGCGGGCGGCGUGCUUAACACAUGCAAGUCGAGCGAGAAAGGGAGCUUCGGUUCCUGAGUAAAGCGGCGAACGGGUGCGUAACACGUGGGUGAUCUGUCCUUGAGGUGGGGAUAACUCAGCGAAAGCUGGGCUAAUACCCAAUAAGACCACAGAAAGCAAUUUCCGGGGUCAAAGGGUGCUUUUUUUGGGAGCAUCCGUUUGAGGAGGAGCCCGCGACCUAUCAGCUAGUUGGUAGGGUAAUAGCCUACCAAGGCAAAGACGGGUAGCUGGUCUGAGAGGAUGACCAGCCACACGGGGACUGAGACACGGCCCCGACUCCUACGGGAGGCAGCAGUGGGGAAUAUUGGGCAAUGGGGGAAACCCUGACCCAGCGACGCCGCGUGGGUGAUGAAGGCCUUCGGGUCGUAAAGCCUUGUCAGGAGGAACGAAUGUUUUUAGAGUAAAUAGCUCUAAAAAGUGACGGUACCUCUGAAGGAAGCACCGGCCAACUCCGUGCCAGCAGCCGCGGUAAGACGGAGGGUGCAAGCGUUGCUCGGAAUCAUUGGGCGUAAAGGGUGCGUAGGUGGCUUUUUAAGUCUGACGUGAAAGCCCAGGGCUUAGCCUUGGAAGUGCGCCAGAAACUGGAAGGCUAGAGUGCCGGAGGGGAGAGUGGAAUUCCUGGUGUAGCGGUGAAAUGCGUAGAUAUCAGGAGGAAUACCGGUGGCGAAAGCGACUCUCUGGACGGUAACUGACGCUGAGGCACGAAAGCGUGGGGAGCAAACAGGAUUAGAUACCCUGGUAGUCCACGCUGUAAACGAUGGGCACUAGGUGUCGGGGGUAUCCACUCCCUCGGUGCCGCCGCUAACGCAUUAAGUGCCCCGCCUGGGAAAUACGGCC